rnacentral:tRNA from 1 species
GCCGCGUUGGCUCAAUGGUAGAGCGUCGCCCUCCUAAAGUCUGAUUAAAUAAUCAGAUUUGAAGCAGGCGAAGGCUGCGAGUUCGAGUCUCGUGCGUGGUA